rnacentral:rRNA from 1 species
GAUGAACGCUGGCGGCGUGCUUAACACAUGCAAGUCGAACGGAAAGGCUCCUGCUUGCCGGGGUACUCGAGUGGCGAACGGGUGAGUAACACGUGGGUGAUCUGCCCUGCACUUCGGGAUAAGCCUGGGGAACUGGGUCUAAUACCGGAUAGGACCACAUUAUGGAUGUUGUGGUGGAAAGUUUUUCGGUGUGGGAUGAGCUCGCGGCCUAUCCGCUUGUUGGUGGGGUAAUGGGCUACCAAGGCGUCGACGGGUAGCCCGCCUCAGAGCGUGUACGGCCACAUUGGGACUGAGAGACGCAGCAGACGGCUACGGGAGGCAGCAGGGGGGAACAUUGCACAAUGGGCGCAAGUCUGAUGCAGCGACGCCGCGUGGGGGAUGACGGCCUUCGGGGUGUAAACUCCUUUCGCUAGGGACGAAGCGCAAGUGACGGUACCUGGAGAAGAAGCACCGGCUAACUACGUG